AUUGAACGCUGGCGGCAGGCCUAACACAUGCAAAUCGAACGAGUGGCGGACGGGUGAGUAAUGUCUGGGAAACUGCCUGAUGGAGGGGGAUAACUACUGGAAACGGUAGCUAAUACCGCAUACCAUCGAGUGUGCCCUGAUGCGAUUAGCUAGUAGGUGGGGUAACGUCUCACCUAGGCGAGGAUCCCUAGCUGGUCUGAGAGGAUGACCAGCCACACUGGAACGGAGACACGGUGCAGACUCCGACGGGAGGCAGCAGUGGGGAAUAUUGCACAAUGGGCGCAAGCCUGAUGCAGCCAUGCCGCGUGUAUGAGGAAGGCCUUCGGGUCGUAAAGUACUUUCAGCGGGGAGGCGUUACCCGCAGAAGAAGCACCGGCUAACUCCGUGCCAGCCGCCGCGGUAAUUC
rnacentral:rRNA from 1 species